rnacentral:rRNA from 1 species
UAUGAGGCGGGCUGGACCUCUCGGGGUUACAGCCUUGCUGAAUUAUUCACCCUUGUCUUUUGCGUACUUCUUGUUUCCUUGGUGGGUUCGCCCACCACUAGGACAAACAUAAACCUUUUGUAAUUGCAAUCAGCGUCAGUAACAAAUUAAUAAUUACAACUUUCAACAACGGAUCUCUUGGUUCUGGCAUCGAUGAAGAACGCAGCGAAAUGCGAUAAGUAGUGUGAAUUGCAGAAUUCAGUGAAUCAUCGAAUCUUUGAACGCACAUUGCGCCCUUUGGUAUUCCAAAGGGCAUGCCUGUUCGAGCGUCAUUUGUACCCUCAAGCUUUGCUUGGUGUUGGGCGUCUUGUCUCUAGCUUUGCUGGAGACUCGCCUUAAAGUAAUUGGCAGCCGGCCUACUGGUUUCGGAGCGCAGCACAAGUCGCACUCUCUAUCAGCAAAGGUCUAGCAUCCAUUAAGCCUUUUUUCAACUUUUGACCUCGGAUCAGGUAGGGAUACCCGCUGAACUUAAGCAUAUCAAUAAGCCGGAGGAAACAGU